AUACUCUGGUUUCUCUUGAAAUCAAGUAUAUCUUUCACCUUUUACUAAAGAUUUCCGUAGAGAGAAAUAACUCUGAGUGUUCAACUCUGAGCUCUUGGCAGGGCUAAUCUUUGAUGUUAU
rnacentral:snRNA from 1 species